UUCCUCAAUUAAAUCAUAAAUCACGUAAAAUUAAAAAUAAAUCACAAAUCUCCUCAAUUUUUAACAUAAGUCACAAUUCACAUUUAAAAAGAAACUCAUUCAAAUUCAAAACUACAGUAAAUAACAAAAACCCAGGAAUCAAAACUAAUAAUCAUUAAAAAUUAAAAGCACAAAACUGAGAAAUCAAAACCCAUGUUGGCGUGGAAGAGUUCAGAUUUGCGAGCAAUGAAGAUUGGAAAAAGGCUAUCUUCGAUGAUUCUACCUUAAUGAAGAUCGCGAUGGAUGAUGGUGAGAGCUUUACAUGCAGUGGUGGCAGUGGCAAUAGGAGGAGACAUUGAUUUGGGGUUGGGGACUGUGGGACAUUGAUGGCCAAAGGAUGAGGGAGAGAUGGCCAAAGGAGGAGGGAAGAAUUGCGAGAAAGAUGAAGAAGGGAUUUGAAGGUAAACAUCCAAAAUGAGAGAACAAGAGAAUGAGAGAAUGACAGGAGCUAAGUGAGAAUAUGAAGAUUCGGGUAAAUGGAAUAAAAAGAUGAGUGAGAGGAAUUGAGAGUCGAUUAAGAAAGUCGUGAGAAAGAGGUGAUUUUGAAGGAAAGAAAAUGGAGACUUGCAG
rnacentral:misc_RNA from 1 species